AGCGAACGCUGGCGGCAGGCUUAACACAUGCAAGUCGAGCGGGCACCUUCGGGUGUCAGCGGCAGACGGGUGAGUAACACGUGGGAACGUACCCUUUGGUUCGGAACAACUCUGGGAAACUGGAGCUAAUACCGGAUACGCCCUUUUGGGGAAAGGUUUACCGCCGAAGGAUCGGCCCGCGUCUGAUUAGCUAGUUGGUGAGGUAACGGCUCACCAAGGCGACGAUCAGUAGCUGGUCUGAGAGGAUGAUCAGCCACACUGGGACUGAGACACGGCCCAGACUCCUACGGGAGGCAGCAGUGGGGAAUAUUGGACAAUGGGCGCAAGCCUGAUCCAGCCAUGCCGCGUGAGUGAUGAAGGCCUUAGGGUUGUAAGCUCUUUUGUCCGGGACGAUAAUGACGGUACCGGAAGAAUAAGCCCCGACUAACUUCGUGCCAGCCGCCGCUGU
rnacentral:rRNA from 1 species